rnacentral:rRNA from 1 species
AGCGAACGCUGGCGGCAGGCUUAACACAUGCAAGUCGAGCGGGCAUAGCAAUAUGUCAGCGGCAGACGGGUGAGUAACGCGUGGGGAACGUACCUUUUGGUUCGGAACAACACAGGGAAACUUGUGCUAAUACCGGAUAAGCCCUUACGGGGAAAGAUUUAUCGCCGAAAGAUCGGCCCGCGUCUGAUUAGCUAGUUGGUGAGGUAAUGGCUCACCAAGGCGACGAUCAGUAGCUAGUCUGAGAGGAUGAUCAGCCACAUUGGGACUGAGACACGGGCCCAAACUCCUACGGGAGGCAGCAGUGGGGAAUAUUGGACAAUGGGCGCAAGCCUGAUCCAGCCAUGCCGCGUGAGUGAUGAAGGCCCUAGGGUUGUAAAGCUCUUUUGUGCGGGAAGAUAAUGACGGUACGCAAGAAUAAGCCCCGGCUAACUUCGUGCCAGCAGCCGCGGUAAU